rnacentral:rRNA from 1 species
UACGGAGGGACCAAGCGUUGUUCGGAUUUACUGGGCGUAAAGGGCGCGUAGGCGGCGUGGUAAGUCACUUGUGAAAUCUCUGAGCUUAACUCAGAACGGCCAAGUGAUACUGCUGUGCUAGAGUGCAGAAGGGGCAAUCGGAAUUCUUGGUGUAGCGGUGAAAUGCGUAGAUAUCAAGAGGAACACCUGAGGUGAAGACGGGUUGCUGGGCUGACACUGACGCUGAUGCGCGAAAGCCAGGGGAGCAAACGGG